CUAGAUGACCAUAGGAUAAGUUGGAAUGCAGGUGUAUGUUCAAUGUUUAGCAAUUUAUCGAUGAAUAUAUUUGGUUGAAGUUUAUUGGAUAAUUAGUUUUUAAUUUUGGAUGGUGAAUGUUGUUAUGUUAAUUUGGAUAGAAUUAUGGUUGAAUGUUAUUGUUGAUUAACUAAUGAUUUGGUGAAUUAUUGAUUUGAGGUAUUUUGUGUUAAAAGCCUAGGAUUUGUGAACUAUGAUUCUUAGUUGAAUUUUGGUUGUUGGAUUUGAAUAUUGUAUGAGUUUAAUUGUUGAUUUGAAGUAGAUUUAUUGUGAUGAUUGUUAUGAUGAUGAGGAAGGGUAUGUUGAAUUGAAAAGAAUACAGGUUUGGACCCGAANNNNNNNNNNNNNNNNNNNNNAAGCAUAGACUCUUGGGGAUGCACGUCGGGGGACAGUCUAAGGACAAUUCAGACUUGUCGGGUUGGCUGGAUAACCGACAGAUGAGCCUCAUCAGCCAUAGGACAGGCAUGCAUCAUAUGCAUAUUACUUGACUUACUUGCUUGUGUAUUAACUGGGUGUGCCUAAAUGUACUUG
rnacentral:lncRNA from 1 species